CUUGAUUCUGGCUGACGUGCUGCGACUGUCAUCUUUCAGAUCAGAGUAACUCUGAGUCUGGUGGGAGUGUCUUCCCCCGACACCCCGUAUACCUCCGCUUUAAGAUGAGAGAAUCUUCUGUCGGUGCUAGCGUUCAGCGGCUAACGGAGGAGGCUUGACUCAACCUGCCGGACACUAAAGGACAUCACUCUGAGCCUGAGGGAGGGGCUCUCCUUUGGUCUCCCUCUUUUGUCCAGCCUUGCCCCAGGAUAUUUUUCUAAGCUGAGUUAGCCACUAGGCACUCCACAUCGCUGCCCGCAUCACCACGCUGCGGCAUCUGCUGUUGCAUCUGCG
rnacentral:lncRNA from 1 species